UUCCAAGCCCAACCAUUCAGGGACUCCAUCAUUCCAUGGUCUCCAGUGUCCACUUCAGAUGGAGCCUGGGAACUGUGAUGUCACAGCCCACGCUCCAGCUGGAACAUCCAGUGCCCAGCAAAGGGCACAACACAACCGUUGUUCGUUGUGUUCACAUGCUCUUCACCCUGCUCCUGCCCACUCUGCUUUUCACCUGCCCCCUGAUAACCCAUUCAGUCCUGAAAGGUCCUUAGUGCCUGGAUUUUGUCAUCCAGCCCUGCAGGAUGCUCCUCUUUGUUCUGAGGAAGGCUGUCCCAGACAGAGAGGAGGACAUGGAGGUGGAUACCAAGAUUGAUACGGAGGAGGAGAUGGAAAUAGACGGAGAAGACGCUGGAGAGGAAGAGAUGGAUGUGGAUGUGGAUGAGGAAGAAGAGAUGGAUGUGGAUAUAGAAGAGUCCAUUGAGGACAUGGAUAUUGAUUAAAAAGGUGCGAUGGACAGCACAGACAGAGACACCAACCUUUGUAUAUAUGUUCUACAGUUUGUUGUUGUUCUUUAGAAUGUAGAUUUUAGGGCUAUUUUUGACUUCUGUAAAUACGUUUCACAUAUUUUUGUUAGGUAGGUUUUUAUGUAUAUAUGUUCUAUCGAUUGUUGUUGUUACAAAUGUUCUUACAAUGUAAAUAUGUUCAGUAUUUUUGCUGCUGUUCUUCUGUAAUAAACAAAUUUUAUUUUUCACACCCCA